UACGUAGGGGGCUAGCGUUGUCCGGAUUUAUUGGGCGUAAAGAGCGUGUAGGCGGCCAGGUAGGUCUGCUGUGAAAACUCGAGGCUCAACCUCGAGAUGUCGGCGGAAACCAUCUGGCUAGAGUCCGGAAGAGGAGAGUGGAAUUCCUGGUGUAGCGGUGAAAUGCGUAGAUAUCAGGAGGAACACCGGUGGUGUAGACGGCUUUCUGGACCGUAACUGACGCUGAGACACGAAAGCGUGGGUAGCAAACAGG
rnacentral:rRNA from 1 species